rnacentral:misc_RNA from 1 species
UACAGCAACAUAGCGUGGUUCAACGUGAUCUAUCGUUUUCCGUUUGUAUUUCGUGUAAAUCAUUCUAAUGUACUCACGUAUUUAACUUCAAGCUAUUUAAAUUUUUCAUGUGGUUUUUCACAAAUUAUAAAAUAGUGAUAUCUCCAUAUUGAUGGGUGUACUCGGACCUCCCUCCAAACGCUGCUCUGACAUUUUCUAAAGACGCCAUGUUUGUCACGUUUUUGCCAGUUGUGAAUAUAUUUAGCCAAAAAUUGGAUUUGCAGUAGCGUUGCCGCAUGUAAUCGUGAACCAGUGUUGUAAUAAAUUCGGUUCAAAAUGAGUAUGGUUUUUUCAAAAAAUAAGGAAAAGCGUUCGCGUUCGUCGUCCAGCGAAGCUAACAAUUCAUUUGUGAAGAAUGUGACAUCACGAGUGUCUGGGCUGUUGCCUGCGACCAUCACUAAGUGGUUUAGCAGUAGCCCAAGCUCGUCUUCAAAUGCCAAUGGAUCGACUCAAACAGCCGACGUCACUGACUCCUCAACUGAGGACGAGGCACCAGAGAGCCCAAUCACCACCCAGCCGCCGUCCAAGCGAAUGCGAUACAGUUCUCCCGGGAAUUAUCAUUAUAGCUCAGAGACAAGAUCUGAUUGUAUACCCACAAAUGUAGAUGACAUGGACUUAUGCACUCCUUAUGGUAAUGUGCAGUCUCCGCCAGGCCGCACUACUUUCAGGAGAGAGACUAACUUUGUCUCCACUCCACUGCGUUCUACUGACGAGUCCUCUAUGGACAGCACUGAUAAAGAAACAACAAUGUUCAAAUCGACAAUUUCAGUGUCCACUGCAGGUCCGUCAGUUGCGCCCAAGAGGAAGUCUUUGUUUGAUCCAUCAAACAGCACUGAAGCGUCAACUAGAGCUUGCGCGAAAACGGCGAGUAAUACACCGAAAGACCCUAAACAACCAUGUUUCAAGCCAAGUCUUUUUGGUUCACCAUUCUAUCCAGGGAGGACAAUGUAUGGUGGUGCUUCAUCAUCUUAUAUAAAUCAGCCCAACAUCAAACAGCGGAGGAAUACGCUAGUAAAUGAGGCUAGUUCUAGCGACAAUACCAUCAGUAACUCGACAAAACGUAUCAUGGACCUAUUGCAACAUUACUCAUCACCAUUGAAUGAAGCUAAAAGAAUACCACCAUACACAAGGCCUUCCAGAAGCGAAAGUCUCAACAACAGUGUUAAUAGUUCCUCUCCAUAUUCAAAGAAAGUUGUUAGUUAUAAAACUCAAGAGCUUUAUGUGCCAAGCAUAGCUUCAAUUUUACGACUGAAGCAGAAGUCUCGAUUGAUGGACACAACUAAUGUGGCGCGUCAGUUACUAGCAUCGCACAGCAGCACGUCUGAUUACGUGCCUUACUCCCAAAGGGAACAAACAGAAAAGGAAACUACCAGUAGUAAAUUAACAACUAAAGUGAAAUCGAGGUUAACUCGGCCCAAAAGAGGCGAGAGCAGUGAUGCAGAAACUGAACUACCUACACCAGUUCACUUGCCAUCUGCAGUUUUACAGAUUGAUCAAAAUAAUUUGCCUAAAUUCUCAUUUGGAAUACCGUUGACUUCUGACACGUUAACACCUACACCAAAGGUCGCAGUCAAUAAGUCGCCAGUUGCAGAGCCCAAGAAGGCUAAUACUACAUUCAAAAUAACUGAAACACCAUUAAGUAAGCCUGAGACAGUCACUAGUAACAAUUUUAUGAAUUUCUCAAGUCCUGUUAGGAUAUCCAGUGAUAAUCCGCAGACUGCAGCCAUUCUUCCUAAAUUCACAUUUAGUAGCCCCGAACGAAGUAUAGACAAACCUAAAAUUUUGGAAAAGAAAGAUGAUGAUGUUACUUGUGUUGUAGGUGCCACAAAACAGACAGAAAAUAUAAUAUCCCUUUCAAAAUCUAAGGGAAAUUGGCAAUGUCCCGAUUGCUGGGUUCACAACAAACCAGAUGUCGAGAACUGCGUAUGCUGCGGAGCCACUAAAUCAAAGAAAGUUACUGAAAAGUCGGCCAAAUGCUCUGUUUGCAAACUUGCUGACAUUAAGUCACAUGGUGACAAAUGUGCGCUUUGCGAAAAUAAUAGUAUUAACAAUAUAGACAAAGUAUCAGUGAUUAAAUCUACUGAUUCUUCUCAAUGGAAAUGCGAUGAUUGCUGGGUAAACAAUGACGAGAAUGCAGAAAAAUGUGUGUGUUGCGGCGCCAAAAAUCCUAAGAAAGCUACCACUUCAAAAAUAAAUGUCAUUCCUACAGAACCUGUGAAGUUAGAGAUUGAGUGGAAGUGUGAAGAUUGUUGGAUCAAGAACAAAAGCAAUGUGGAUAAGUGUGCGGCAUGUGGCGCAGCAAAACCCGGCGCUAAGCAAACAAGCGCCGCACCUUGUACUGGUUUUAGCUUCUUUAAUUCACCCAUGACUCAAUCGUCUGACCAAUUGACAAAGUUAGUCAAAACACAGACAAGCAAAUGGGAAUGCCCCAGCUGUUUAGUGCGAAAUGACAAUACCAAAACUAAAUGUGUUUGUUGUGAGUCUGACAAACCUGGUUUAGUGAAAGAACCUGAAAAGAAGAGUUUUAAUUUUGGAAUGAACGUAAAUACGACAUUCAAGUUUGGUAUUGAUACCAAAAUUCAAGAAGCAAGUACAACCAAAACAAAUGAAAUUAAGACUACCAUUGAAAGCAAAAACGUUGAAGAAUCUGAAACAAAUAAUAAUGUGUUAUCUAAGACGCCGACAUUCAAAUUUGGCUUAUCCGUGAAAAAGAACGAGGAUCUGCUAAGUGCUGCUAAAACAACUGAAGAAAAAGCUGCAGACAGUACUCCAAAAAUGAAUUUCUCCUUUGGCAUACCCACAUCUUUGCCUCCAUCUACUACUAUCACUCCUAUUUUAGGAACUUCAAAUAAAUUUACAAUGCCUGUGUCCAAUAAGGAAGAGGAUAAAGAAAAACCACAAGAAGUACCAACUAUUGAAAUCCCAAAGACCGAAGAAGCGCCCAAACCAGCAGCCAACCUCUUUGCAUCACCAUUGGCUUCACAGCCAGCUUCACAAGAAAAAUCUCCUGCAAUUUCUUUCUUUAGCCAAGAUAAACAGGCUACUACUUCAUCUUCAUUAAUGAGCUCCUCCAUAACUCUAGAAAAAAAAGAUCCGCCUAGUAACCAUUUAGCUCAGGCGCAACCUGCUGCCACUAGUAUUGAAACUUCAGCCAAGCCUACGUUUACGUUUGGUACUGGCGGUGGCAUCAAAAUAAACCCCAAUUUAUUUGCUACUGCAGCUACGACGACUAUAGCUUUUGGAACACCUCUUCAAAAUACAACAAAUUCUGCUUCUCUUUUUUCCAACAAAGAACCAGUUACGACGUCAACAAUGUCCAUGUUCCCCAAAACUGAUUCAUCAAGUACCGUGUCUCUGUUUCAAAAGAGUGACUCGCCCGCUAGCACUGCGGCGCCACCGGCUCUCGGUGCCACAGCACCGAUGUUCAGUUUUGGAGGCGGCAAUCAGAAUGCGCAACAAGAAAAACCCAAGUUCAAUUUUACAUUUGGCAGUAACAACAAAACUGAAACUCCGUCACUAUUUAAGGCGCCCACAUUUGGUGCGUCAAAUGAUAACAAAUUUACUCUUCCUGCUGCAACCGGCAACUCAAAUGCGUUAGGUGGCAAUGGAUUGUCGUCUGGAAAUGCACUUGGAAGCAAUGUUAUGUCCAGCGGAAAUGGCUUGCCAGCAAAUUCGCUCGGAGGAGGAAGUGAGAUGUCGAACAAUCCUUUAGCGAGCGGAAAUAGUUUACCAUCUGGAAAUGCUUUGCAGACACCAUCGAGUGGAAUAUUUGGAGCCGCAAUUCAAAAGGAAAAUAUGUGGUCUUCAUCAAACAAUCCUUCAAACAAUUUAUUUGUUUCAAAUGCGACAACAAACAGUUUACAGAAGCCAGCCGCGUUUACUUUCGGAUCUUCGACACCUUUUAAUGCCAACAACAAUAAUACGACACCAGCUUUCGGGAGCAACACGCAGUCUACACCGAGUGUGUUUGGGAUGGCAAAUCAGAAUGCAAAUACACAACCUUCUUUAUUCGCAAGUCCAGUGCAGAACCAGCCGGCGGCGAAUGUUUUCGGCUCUCCACAGCCAGCGGCUAAUCCCGCACCUACCCUCGGCAUGUUUGGCACUCCAAACGUUGGUGCCACUCCGACUUUCGGCACGCCAAACCCCUCGAUCCCGUCGUUCGAAGCGCCAUCGCUCACACCUGCACCUGCUCCCGCUUUCAAUUUCGGCGCACCGCCAUCGACAGGCGUUUUUGGAUUCGGACAGAGAGUAGCUACAUUGGUAAUUUUAGAUUAGUAUCAUGACUUAGGACCAUAUCUGAAGGUCCAAUGCUCUACAACUGUGCAAUCGACUUUAAGUGACAAAUGCCCUCAAUCAGCCUGCAAUCGUGAGAUAAUAUAUCAAGUUUCCUCGGACAAAAACUGAGCAUAUAGAAAGGUCUCUAGAGGUUUUAAUGACAAAUUUGGAUUUCUUGGAGUACUUGGAUGCAUCCAUGGCACACAAAUUGCCAUUAUCCAACCUCACAAGUGGGAAGAGGCCUUCUUCAAUAGCAAGUAUUACCAUUCAUUGCAUGUUAUGUUGGUUUGUGAUGGAGAUAUGUGCAUUACAUUUGUGAUGCAUCCAAUGGGAGUGUUAGUGCUAGACUACUAGCCAAGAUAACCAUAUUUGGAACAACAGCACUUUGAGAAGGGAAAAGGAACAUCUCCUUAAUUUUAAUAUGUUUAAGUUCAUUAAGUGGACUUGUGUGGUCCUUGAAAUGUAAAUUAUGAAGUCAGUGUGGUGUAAUCAAAAGUGGCAGAUUUGUUAUUCAAAACAUCUAAACAAACCUUUCUUUAUUGACAUCAAAUAAACUAUUUUCAUUAUGCAUA